GGACCGGCCUAAACCGGCGCGAGCAGAUCCCCAGCCAGCCGCCAGCCGCUCAUAUACAUACAGUAUACAUUACACCGCCGCAUUCGCUCAGCAGCUCCGCUCGCAGCCUAGCCUGGCGGCGGGGGAGGAGGCAGGCUGAGGCGCCGCCCGCCCCUCGCCUUCCGGUCCGCUCGCACCGCACGGCCGCGCCGCCGGCUCGCCGCGGCCCCGGGCUGCCCCGCGCUACGUGCGAGGCGGCCCCCGCGCCCCCCGGCCGUCACAGGGAGGCAGUUGCGGACCGUGACAGCCGCCGCGCGGGGAGAGGCCGGGGGGGAGGGGAGGCGGCGGAGUGAGGGACGUGACCGGCCGCAGAGCGCCAUGUCCCGGCGGCCGCCCCGGCUCGCAGCCCCUGUGGCGGCCCGGCCGGUACCGCCGCUGCCCCUCGCCGUAGACGGGCUCCCCAGAGAGAGGGGGGCGCCGUGCCCAGCGCCCCGAGCCGCCAAGGCCACGGCUGCCAGGCAGGCCCCCUUCCCUGCCAGCGGGGCCAGGGCGGCGGCGUCCCCCUAGUAGAGCGGCGCCCCGGCCUCGGCGUCAGCACGCCCGGAGCGACCCGCGGGCCGGCGGCGAGCUCCCACCGAGGCCGCGACCGGACCCCUGACCGGGGGGCGCGUGAGACAGCGGCAGCUGGCGAGCGGAAGACCGCUCCCGGCGAGGAAAAAAAAAUAGCAAAUCUUGCUAAUAUCACUGUGACAAAACGAUAUUGCAUUUCGAAGAUACAGUAUUAAUUAACUGCAAAUCUUUAUGAAAAAGCGCCAUUAAAGGGCAGGUAGUUUAAGAAAGUCCUGUUUGCAGGCACUUUGCAGAUGCACCUCAGUACGGUUUUAACAUCAAGCAAGUGUCCAUAUAAUGGAACAGAAAUCCCAAGAAGGUACUCUGCAUCUUCUCGUCCUUAGAAAUAGAGGAUUUUAUAGCCUACAUACUGAAAGAGAUAAACCAAGAUGAUGCAAAGAUGCGACUUCUUCCAGAAAAAUGUCUGCAAAUAAUGAAUUAGUAAGUAAAAAUCUUACCUCUUUCGUGCCCAAUUAGGAUGUCCUUAUGGUUGAAAUAUUCUACUUCUUCAGUGUAAUUUUGUGUAUAGGCAGUGUUGGAUCCAGCAUUUCUAGAUUCAGUCCAACGUACUUUUGCAUGUCCUCUUGCAUGAAUUUUAAGAGAUUUUACUCUAAUUUCCCCAGUAACUUCUAAAUUGACCCUUCCUGAGACUGUGUCCCCGCUAGAAUAGACGGGGACAUUGCUGUCAUUGAGACAGUCAAAGCUUAUUGUCAAACUCUUCACCUUCCCCAGCACCAUGUUUUAUAACAAAGUGUAUAAAAAUAUACUGUAAGAAAAAAAAAGUCAAGAUCUCAUAUAAAAUGCGAUCUUCACUUCACACUGAUCAACGCCUCUGCCGUGCAAAGAGCUUGCCGGCAGGACCAGCGUGUGCCCUACCAGCCCGUCAUCGGGAUUGCCUGGAAAGCCCCAGCCCUCGCGGCUGCCGGCGGCGCGGCGCGGCGCGGCUGCCCGGCGCUGCGGUCUCCCUACAAAGACGGCUGCUGCGCGCUGCCACCUCACUUUAAGAGCAGCUUUGUGAAAAACAACCCCGCCGCGCAUGCGCGGCUCCGCCGGCGGCGGCUUCCUCCGCGGCUGCGCGCCCCCGCGCUGCCGUGCGCGCUCCUCGCGCGUGGGGCCGCGCGGCGGUGCUGAGGUGGGCGCUGGGGAGCCGGGAGGGGCGCAGCGGCGGCCGGAGGCGCGGGCUCCCCCUCGGGAGGGCCCGGGGGGCUCGUCGCGCUGCUGAGCGGGGCCCGGCCGGGAGGAGCCGCGGCGGAAGCGGCGGCGCGGGGUGGGCGGCGAGCGCGGCCCCUGGGCCCGGCGGCGGCCGGCGCGGCGCGGCCCCUCGGCCGCGGGCUGCCCCGUUAGCGCACGUAGCCGCGGCCCUGCCACGGACAGCCUGGAGAAGACGCUCGGCUUUUCGCUCAGCUGCAGAUGUCGCCCAAGCUUUCUGCCGGCGAAGAGGCCGGCCCCGGGCAGGCUGCAGGCCGGGAGCCGGGCCGCCCCGGCCCGCCUGUGCCCCCGGCGCCUCGCGGAGGGGGAGGGAACGGGCUGCCGCCAGGACGAAGGGGAGAAAGGCUUUCGGCUUUAGUUUCCUUUAAGACAGUGAUCUCUAAGUGAAUCUUUGGAUUCGCUGCACAGACUCGAAAAACGCAGCUCAUCUCCUUUCCAAAUGACUGAAAAAAAUCAGCUUGGCACCGGGGGAUGUCUUUGAUGAUAAUCUUGUUUCCAAAAGGGAGCCUUUAUGCAAAAGCAAACAUUUAAAUGUCUACCACGGUGAAGUUUCCUAUGUUAAUACUUUUAAAUGUAGUUGUUGUACAGUAGCUUAGUUUGGGGUUUGGUUUGCUUGUUUUGCUGUUAUUGUUUUUUAUUUUUGUGGUGCCUUUUCUUGGAUAAACAUUCUAGAUUAAAUUAUUAAAUGCUACAUUUCUAUUUUUUACCUUUGUUAGUGACAUAAGAUUUUCAACAAGACAUAUAAUGUAGGUGCUUAAUAUUUAACAAACUAGUGUGUGUUGCGAGUCGUAUUUUUUUCUAGGUCAGCGAAGUACAUAACUAAAAUGAAGUUCAGACCAGCAGUUAUAUUUUGAAGCAGUAUGCCUGUAUAUACUCGUUUUCCCAAGUAAAAAGUCAUUCAUAUUUUCCCUCGCCUGACACCUGGUGGAGAUUCUCAUACUUAAAAACCGAAAAGCAGAAAAUGUUCAGCAAUGUACUUCUGGUAUGUUAGAACUUUCUGUGUUUUUGCACCAUCUUGUGGUAAAUAGCCAUACUUACCUAGACAACUUGCAAAAGAAGUUGAGGUAUUUCAUUCUUUUUCUGGUAAUAAUUUUACUUUUGUUAUCACAUCUUUAGAUGCAGAUGGUUUCAUACUACUGUUUAUUUGCAUGUUUUUCCUUUUUUCUACAAGGUAGAAGAUAAUCUUUUCUUCCACAGUCACAGAUCCCACCAGUCUGUGUGUUUGGAUUUGCUAUAGGACAUAUGAGAGCUAACAGCCAAAUGGGAUGCUACUUCUGUGCCUCCCUCCAUGGAGUUCAGGCAGGAAAGUCACAACUCCUGUCCUUCAGGUUCUGGGUUCAUUGUCACCAUGUACCGCUGUCAGUGUGGAUCUGCAAAGAUUUGAAGUGCACAGCAGUUACCUUCUGCAGAUCCAGUUAAGAUCUAUGAAGGUUAAAGACUCAAGUGAAUGUUCAUAUGGAUAUUUUUUGUAUACUUGAUGAUAAAGAAGAGGACCUUUUUACAUGAUUGAAAUAUGGCAUAUGAUAUUUUCUCAUUUAUUUCUUAAAUAGUCUAUGUAUUUUGUGUGCUUACUAGAUUUGCACAUUUCAGGCUUGUUGGAGAAGAUAAAAUGUUUUGUUAAGCUGGUGUAGGCCCCUCUUCCUGCAUGUGACCUCAAGAUAGUGUAGCCUUAACUUGCCUCCCCGACCAGCAGAAUUGCUGUCUUUCGCCAAGCCAUUUCUGGACACACAAGAAUAACAUGGCUGCCAUCAUGGCAUGGGAUGAGUUCUAAGCAUUUCAUGUGAGUAGGCUGUUGGGAAGAUCCUACUAUUUUUCAGCUUUUUAGCCAAGUUCUGGUAUGUUAGAUUUGAGCAAUUUGCAGACAGUUGGAGUCCUGAUCAUAUGGCAUACUGGACAGCAGACAGCUCUUUCCAGUUCUUGGAUUAUUUGGAGAAAAAUGCGGUAGAGAGUAACCCUAUUUCUCAGACAUAUUGGACAUGUUGAGAACACUGGUAAAUCUAAGUUUCAUUGCAGUGGUGAGACAGGUCCAAUUCAUUGCAAUUUCUGAGGCUACUGGCAUAGUUCAGACUUCCUGGAAGCUUUUGUAAUCACAUAGAAGUGAGUCCAUUGAAAUUACUAGGACAUUUGGAUAUCCAUGCAAUGCAAAAUUCCACAAUCUUUGAAGCUCUCUAAUUUUCAUAUAUUGCUAUGCUGCUGUUCUGAGUUAAUUAAAAAAUAUCUUGAGUGAUCAGAUAUGCUGAUUUACAUGAAAGUGACCUAGUUUUCAAGGCUGGUUCUAAAUUCCUGUUAAAGCUUGGUGGAAAAAAUUAUAAAUCAAUUCCAUACUAACUCUGAUCUGUAUGCACUCAAAGCAUCUAAGCCAAGCUCUACUCUUCUUUGAAAUAAUGACCUUCCUUUUCCUCGUGCCCCACUCAGGAAACUUUCCUCCAGUUUUUUCGUUAUUCCCUCUUUUCCCUAAAAAGCAUGGAUCGCCUUCCUGCAGCCCCUCACCUCUGUGCCGUUUGGGUAAGGAGAAUGGAUUGGAAAAAGCAUUUCCUGUAUCGCAUCCUGUUGGUUCUGGUGGGUACAGCUACAAAUUCCCAGUUCACAAGGUUUUGGUAUGAAUCUAACAAUGUUUGGUGUGAUAGAUUUGGGAUUGAUUUGACUCUGUAAGAAUCUCAUCUCAGGUAAACAUGUUUAGACCUGAUGAGUUCAGAAUAGAGUUUGUGAAGAGCUUUGAAUUCACCAAAGUAGCUCAGAAAUCCAAAGACAAAUGAAACAAGUUGUUUAUGAAUCAGUCUCAUAUAUAUAUAUAUAUAUAUGUGAAAAACAUAUGUAUAUACAAAAAAGUCUCCCUCUAAAUCUGCCUGAUGAUUUCUGAAAGCUGGGGAAUAAUGCAGCAACUCAACCACCAAAACAUGCUGAUCUAGUUUCUGUCCCUGCCUUUUAUCUGCUUCUGCUUGCUAUCCUGCCUGCCAUCCAUCCAGCUUGGCUCUCACCCACCUAAUUCUCCUCCCCAUGUCUCAAAUUGCUACCGAUUCAGUUUGGUCAAAUGUGAGCUGCUUAGCCCUUCUUUCAGCUCACCACCCACAUUUCCUUCUACCCUGUUUCACCCAUGUUAGGUUGUCUUGACUUGUCUGGGCCUGUUUCUCACCAGAGAUGCAGCCCACUUUCUCUCUGCUGCUCUUCUGUCUUUCUGGUCCUACAUAGAUUUGUUUCUAGCCGCCUUAUAUAUCACCUCACCAUUAUGUACAGUUAUAUGUAAUUUGAAUUUGGAGCACUAGCAGAUUAAUAUAGGCUGGCACUUGUGAUGUAGUUAGGCAUGUGUUACGAAAUAAAAUGUAGAAGUUUUGUAUAAUGACUUUGUAUUCACAUGUAUUCAUGCGUUUCUCUUGUCCUGACAGUAGUCAUUCAUCCAUUCAGUUGUUAUAACUUGUUUUUUUUCAAUGUUUGUGAUAGUAUGCUGUUCAUUUAUAUUUCUGUAUUGCUAAUAAUUUUUAUGUUCUAUGCCAUCUUGCGGCAAAUACGGUGAACUGCUUGCCAUGUCAUUUAGCAGCUUUUUGCCCAUGCACUCCUGUAAACCUGCCAUACAUCAUUUAUGUCUUUGUGCCCUUGGCAAGCUACCUUUCCAAAUUUUUCUCAGUUUAGCUCUCUGAGGCCCAUUAACAUUCACUCCUGUGCUUUGACUUACUGAGAAUCACCUCUGUCUUCUCCUCUUCCUAUUACAGAUUUUCCCUGUUUAUCAUUUUUAGCACCUGGUUAUUAAACACAGUGUAAUUUCUGCUCGUGUAGAGUGGUAUCCAUGCACCUGCUAUUAGGAAAAUAAGACAAAACCUGAAGUUAAGCACUCUUGACUAUAGGCAACAUUUUCUAAAGCUGUUAAGUGACUUAGAUUCUAAAUUUCUAAGGGUUGCAAGAGGUACAUAUUCAACUCUUAAACCGUAUGUUUGUUUUUGAAAAUUUUGUCUUAGACUCUGAGUUGUAAUUACAACAUCUGCAUGAUACUGUCACUGAAAAAGUAUUAUUUAAAUUGAAAUCAAAAUGUCAGUUAUUAAAAGCUACAUUGCCAGUAAAAUAAAAUCAAAUCCUUUUAAUUUAAA